GACGAACCGUCCAAACGUUACUCGGAAUCACUGGGCUUAAAGGGUGCGUAGGCGGCCUGGUAAGUUGGGUGUGAAAGCCCUCGGCUCAACCGAGGAAUUGCGCCCAAUACUGUCGGGCUUGAGGAAGAUAGAGGUGAGCGGAACUAAGGGUGGAGCGGUGAAAUGCGUUGAUAUCCUUAGGAACACCAGUAGCGAAAGCGGCUCGCUGGGUCUUUUCUGACGCUGAGGCACGAAAGCUAGGGGAGCGACCGGG
rnacentral:rRNA from 1 species